CUGUCUCUCUCUCUCUCUCUCUGUUUCCCUUUUGAUUUCUCUCUAAUUCUUAUUUGGUUUAGUAAUAUCAAGUUGCUUGGUAUGGGUAUGCUAUGCUCUGUUUUCUUGAUUACCUCGACUUAUUAAUGAUGCUAUUGUUGCUUUCGUGGUAACUGUAGUCUAUGCUUGCUGUGUGAGAAAAUGCGGUAUAGUAGUCUUGACAUUAAUUGAGCUUCGCUUAUUGACCCACCAACCAUGCUGAUUAAUUUAGAUGCAUGAAUGAAUAGCUCUAAAUUUAUGCAAUUUAAUUGAUGAACUUAUCGUGUUUGAGAUGGGAGGGUUCCACAGAUUCCUACGACUGAUUCGGUUUGGUGAUAGAUUCAAUUUUCUCUAAUGGAUUGUUAGAAAUUUUAGAUUUUUAAGUGACAAGCAGUGUGCAGUGGCGCAAAAAAGUUUCAAGGAGUACAAAUUUUUUCCAUAUUACAUUGAGAACGCCUGAUUGCGCUAAGUUAGAAUCUAAAGUUUUCCACUUUAAGUGUCUGACAGAUGGCAUAUUACAUAUAUCAAGUGUUAAUCUUCUGCAGGUUAAUCCAGCAAAUGAGAAAAUGCUUGGAGGCGGAGGUGCAGAUGGAGGUACUCUUGUCUUUUAUAAUCUUCUUUUUAAUUUACUAACUUGAUUUGAGGUUACUUCUGAUAAAUAUUGCAUCUUCCUAGCCAUACAUAGGGCUGCUGGACCAGAACUCCUAGAUGCAUGCUAUAGGGUCCCUGAAGUCCAACCUGGAGUUCGCUGCCCAACAGGAGAAGCAAGAAUUACUCUAGGUUUCAAAUUGCCUGCAUCUCAUGUGAUUCACACUGUUGGCCCUAUCUAUGACACUGAUAGAGGCCCUGCGUCCUCCCUGAAAAACGCGUACAGGAACAGCUUGACAGUGGCCAAGGACAACAACAUCAAGUAUAUUGCAUUUCCUGCUAUAUCUUGUGGUGUUUAUGGAUAUCCAUAUGAGGAAGCUGCUUCAGUGGCUAUAUCGACAGUCAAAGAAUUUGCUGAUGACUUAAAAG
rnacentral:misc_RNA from 1 species